UACAGAGGGUGCGAGCGUUAAUCGGAAUUACUGGGCGUAAAGCGCGCGUAGGCGGCUUUGCAAGUCGAGUGUGAAAUCCCCGGGCUUAACCCGGGAACUGCAUUCGAGACUGCAUAGCUAGAGUAUGGGAGAGGGAAGUGGAAUUUCAGGUGUAGCGGUGAAAUGCGUAGAUAUCUGAAGGAACACCGGUGGCGAAGGCGGCAUCCUGGACCGGCAUUGACGCUGAGGCGCGAAAGCCAGGGGAGCAAACGGG
rnacentral:rRNA from 1 species